rnacentral:rRNA from 2 species
AUUGAACGCUGGCGGCAGGCCUAACACAUGCAAGUCGAGCGGCAGCGGGUCCUUCGGGAUGCCGGCGAGCGGCGGACGGGUGAGUAAUGCCUAGGAAUCUGCCUGGUAGUGGGGGAUAACUCGGGGAAACUCGAGCUAAUACCGCAUACGUCCUACGGGAGAAAGCGGGGGAUCUUCGGACCUCGCGCUACCAGAUGAGCCUAGGUCGGAUUAGCUAGUUGGUGAGGUAAAGGCUCACCAAGGCGACGAUCCGUAGCUGGUCUGAGAGGAUGAUCAGCCACACUGGAACUGAGACACGGUCCAGACUCCUACGGGAGGCAGCAGUGGGGAAUAUUGGACAAUGGGCGAAAGCCCUGAUCCAGCCAUGCCGCGUGUGUGAAGAAAGGUCUUCGGAUUGUAAAGCCACCUUAAGUU